rnacentral:rRNA from 1 species
ACGGGAGGCAGCAGUGGGGAAUAUUGCACAAUGGGGGAAACCCUGAUGCAGCGACGCCGCGUGAGUGAUGAAGUAUUUCGGUAUGUAAAGCUCUAUCAGUAGGGAAGACAAUGACGGUACCUAACUAAGAAGCACCGGCUAAAUACGUGCCAGCAGCCGCGGUAAUACGUAUGGUGCAAGCGUUAUCCGGAUUUACUGGGUGUAAAGGGAGCGUAGGUGGUAUGGCAAGCCUGAAGUGAAAACCCGGAGCUCAACUCCGUGGAUUGCUUCGGGAACUGUUAAACUAGAGUGCAGGAGGGGUAAGCGGAAUUCCCAGUGUAGCGGUGAAAUGCUUAGAUAUUGGGAAGAACACCGGCGGCGAAGGCGGCUUACUGGACUGUAACUGACACUGAGGCUCGAAAGCGUGGGGAGCAAACAGGAUUAGAUACCCUGGUA